rnacentral:tmRNA from 1 species
GCGGUACCCGGCGACUCCACCAAAACCUGCUCAUUUGGCAGUCAUGGGGUCGAAAUAGGAUCGACGGACGUCUAAAGAUGUUAGCUUUUGCUCGGUGAGUUACCACCGUUAUCGGUACAUUUAAGCUAGUUGCAAAUGACAACAAAGCUCCGAUGGCUCUGGCUGCGUAAGCGGUCCGAAAUAUCGAAAACUUAAGUCUUGGUCCUUUGCAGGGCCAAGCGGGGUUCGCAGGCACCUGGCAACAGAAGCCUGCACU